rnacentral:ncRNA from 1 species
AUCAGACAAAGGCAAACCUGCUGAAAAGCCGGGACGCAAAGUCACAGAUCUAACGUUCUACGGAGCUAUGAUGGCUGGACUGCCUGA